UAAGGAUUCGACAGGGAUAGGUCGAGCUUAAGCUGCGAGUCGAGUCGGCGAGCUCGUAAAUAACGCCACGCCAAUAAUAACUGGCAAAUCUAACAAUAACCUAGCUUUAGCUGCCUAAUAAGCGCUUAAGCUGCUCCUCCCUCCAUCGCCCACGUGGUAGGGUCAGGGGCUCAUCUGAGUGGGAUACGCCGGUUGCCUGCCGUCUGAAGGCGAAGGAAGAGAACAAUCAGACUAGCGUUCACAGAGCCUGUCGAUAGGCCGAGUGAAUCGCGAAAUGCCAAUAUAUCGACUACACUCGUAGAUGCUUAAGUGGCGAUAUUUCUGGACGUGGGUUCGAUUA
rnacentral:tmRNA from 1 species